UACUCCCUCUUACUUAAAAGCUCGUAGCCCCCUGUUCUGUCCCUCAGUCUGCUACAUAACUUCUCCUCGGAGACAUUGCCAAACUGUCGUCCUGAGUAACGUUAAGAGCACCUUGUAUGUUCCUGGGUCCAAUAUGAAAGGAAUUGCGAAGAUUUUCUUUAUUGCAAUGACUCUGCUGGUGAUGUUGAUGUGCGUUGAAGUGACUACGUCUCUCCCAACGCCUAAGGACGGGGAUUCGCCACUGCUUUCACUGGUUAAACGCUCCAAACUGUGCUGUUGUUCAUGUUUCUGCAAUUGCCCUGACUAAGCGG